CACACUUUUAUCCUAACUGUCAUCGACAAUGCAUUCUUCAUGUAUUCUUUCUCUAAGUUGCAAGGGCAAUGGCCUACUAAUACCCCCAGGUAUGGUUUGCAGCCAGGUCUCAUAUCUUUGAGUGUACCCUGGAUUAUCCAUACCUACUUUGAGAGUAUCCACACCUAUUUUUAUUGCGUGAUGCCAGAAUUCUUCAUAUUUACUUUCGCCUAAGGCUUGAUCCUUAAAAUGGUCUACAU
rnacentral:lncRNA from 1 species